rnacentral:rRNA from 1 species
GAUCCUGGCUCAGGAUGAACGCUAGCUACAGGCUUAACACAUGCAAGUCGAGGGGCAGCAUGGUCUUAGCUUGCUAGGGCCAAUGGCGACCGGCGCACGGGUGAGUAACGCGUAUCCAACCUGCCUUACACUCUUGGACAGCCUUCUGAAAGGGAGAUUAAUACAAGAUGUUAUCAUGAGUAAGCAUUUUCGCAUGAUUAAAUGUUUACCGGUGUAAGAUGGGGAUGCGUU